rnacentral:rRNA from 1 species
GACGAACGCUGGCGGCGUGCUUAACACAUGCAAGUCGAACGGAAAGGCCUGCUUUCCCUUAUGGAUUGCGGGUACUCGAGUGGCGAACGGGUGAGUAACACGUGAGUGAUCUGCCCCCAACUUGGGUAUAAGCCUGGGAAACUGGGUCUAAUUCCCGAUAGGACUGCAGGGUGGUGCCUGUGGUGGAAAACGAUUUUCUAGUGGUUGGGGAUGAGCUCGCGGCCUAUCAGCUUGUUGGUGGGGUAAUGGCCUACCAAGGCGGCGACGGGUAGCCGGCCUGAGAGGGUGGACGGCCACAUUGGGACUGAGAUACGGCCCAGACUCCUACGGGAGGCAGCAGUGGGGAAUAUUGCACAAUGGGCGGAAGCCUGAUGCAGCGACGCCGCGUGGGGGAUGACGGCCUUCGGGUUGUAAACUCCUUUCGACCGCGAGGAAGCCACCUGGUUGGAAGGGUGGUGACGGUAGUGGUAGAAGAAGCACCGGCUAACUACG